rnacentral:lncRNA from 1 species
CAACACAUUAAUCACCAGCUUCUGUGGCAGGCUGACUAGCAAUAGGCAUUGUUAACAAAACUUUUCUAAUAUGUCACUCUUCUCUAUGACAGCCUGUAAUCAAUCAUCGUGAUUGACAGUGCUGAUAGAUUACACUAUUUAUACUUUUUGUAAUGAAAGAUAGCGUUUCCACCUACUGUCAUUUCUAGGCUAGCAAUGGAGGGAUCGUUGAAUAGAAACAAACACAACAGCUCAGUCCUCAGCUCAGCAUUUGUGAAGUUAAAGUAAAGGCAGCGCUGAGGGUCCUUUUGUGGCAGACGUCAUAGGAGAACUAUUGUUAGGUAACCUGGUUAAAGCAGCACUCUUUCUGAACAUCGCAGGAUAUCGCUUUGAUGGUGACUUUGUCUCAUUUGCUGUCAGGUCAGGUUCAGGCAGGAUCAAGACCACAUGAUGGGACAGUAGCAUGACUGAAAGUGUUGGUUCCCCAUAUCUAC